rnacentral:lncRNA from 1 species
UUAAUUUAUACCUAUAAAUAAUCAUCCAUGCAAAUAACACAUACAUAUCAUAUUGACCUAUAAUAAUAAUACUGGAAAUGUGCCUUUUCCUUACUUGUUGGAGUCGGGAUUUGGACCGCUAGGGACUUCAUGCGCCGCUGCCUGAAACUGUCCAUUUCUUGUACUGCUGGUGGUGGUGGUGCUCAUCUCAUUUUUUUCCGGACGAAAAUUGCUGGUGGAUUUCUCUGUAAGGAUUCGAGAAGCUGAUUUUGAGGAAGCCAUUGAUAUGGUCGACACGUCUAAAGGACGACGUAAGAGAGAUAUAAUCAAGAUUAGGGCAAGAAAGAGCAAGAGAGCUAGUGAGGACUUUUUAGAGAUUUCACAAACUGUUGCCAUGAAAUUGGAACCAAGAAUCCACCCCCCCAGUGAGCCUCAAGAGGUUAAAAUCCAUGAACCAGUUGGGCAAUCAAGUUUAAUUAAUU